rnacentral:rRNA from 1 species
UACGGAGGCACAGUCUUCGACGACAUUGGGUUUAAAGGGUCCGUAGGCGGACUGGUAAGUCAGUGGUGAAAGUCUGCAGCUCAACUGUAGAAUUGCCAUUGAUACUGCUGGUCUUGAAUAACUAUGAAGUAAUUAGAAUGUGUAGUGUAGCGGUGAAAUGCAUAGAUAUUACACAGAAUACCGAUUGCGAAGGCAGGUUACUAGUAGUGAAUUGACGCUGAUGGACGAAAGCGUGGGGAGCGAACAGGAU